rnacentral:rRNA from 1 species
AUUGAACGCUGGCGGCAGGCCUAACACAUGCAAGUCGAGCGGCAGCGGGAAAGUAGCUUGCUACUUUUGCCGGCGAGCGGCGGACGGGUGAGUAAUGCCUGGGAAAUUGCCCAGUCGAGGGGGAUAACAGUUGGAAACGACUGCUAAUACCGCAUACGCCCUACGGGAGAAAGCAGGGGACCUUCGGGCCUUGCGCGAUUGGAUAUGCCCGGGUGGGAUUAGCUAGUUGGUGAGGUAAUGGCUCACCAAGGCGACGAUCCCUAGCUGGUCUGAGAGGAUGAUCAGCCACACUGGAACUGAGACACGGUCCAGACUCCUACGGGAGGCAGCAGUGGGGAAUAUUGCACAAUGGGGGGAACCCUGAUGCAGCCAUGCCGCGUGUGUGAAGAAGGCCUUCGGGUUGUAAAGCACUUUCAGCGAGGAGGAAAGGUUGAUGCCUAAUACGUAUCAACUGUGACGUUACUCGCAGAAGAAGCACCGGCUAACUCCGUGCCAGCCGCCGCUGUAAAAC